GAUGAACGCUGGCGGCGUGCCUAAUACAUGCAAGUCGAGCGAACAGACGAGGAGCUUGCUCCUCUGACGUUAGCGGCGGACGGGUGAGUAACACGUGGAUAACCUACCUAUAAGACUGGGAUAACUUCGGGAAACCGGAGCUAAUACCGGAUAAUAUAUUGAACCGCAUGGCUCAAUAGUGAAAGACGGUUUUGCUGUCACCUAUCGAUGGAUCCGCGCCGCAUUAGCCAGCUGGUAAGGUAACGGAUUACCAAGGCGACGAUGCGUAGCCGACCUGAGAGGGUGAUCGGCCACACUGGAACUGAGACACGGUCCAGACUCCUACGGGAGGCAGCAGUAGGGAAUCUUCCGCAAUGGGCGAAAGCCUGACGGAACAACGCCGCGUGAGUGAUGAAGGUCUUCGGAUCGUAAAACUCUGUUAUUAGGGAAGAACAAAUGUGUAAGUAACUAUGCACGUCUUGACGGUACCUAAUCAGAAAGCCACGGCUAACUACGUG
rnacentral:rRNA from 1 species